UGCGCCUUACAUUGCUGUGCUCCGUUACGGUCACGAAUCGCAAGUGUGCCCCUUUUAAAGGCUUUAGCCCAAUCGCAGGAGGAAAAAACGGUUAAAAAUGGCUAAACUAGUACUGCCGGACGAUCCAGCCUCGAUGGACGGCCACCUAAUUUGCUCAUUGCUAGGGGUGAAAGAGGCCCGUGGUCUUCCUUACGAUGAAGUCGACAAGCGCCUUCACGAGUUUGGCAAAAAUGGGUUUCCUACAAUGCCCUCAACGCCCUUCUGGAAGCUAGUUGUUAGUCAAUUUGAGGACACGCUUGUGCGCAUUUUACUCCUGGCGGCGUUUGUAAGUUUCUGCUUGGCGGUUCUGGAAAGCAACGUGAUAGACCUCGUGGAGCCGUUUAUUAUUUUGCUGAUUUUGACGCUGAAUGCUAUUGUUGGUGUUUGGCAAGAAGACCGAGCUGAAAAAGCAAUUGACGCCUUGAAAGACUUUGUUCCUGAAGCAGCUGUUGUUGUCCGCGAGGGCAUGACGCAGAAGAUCCUGGCAGAAAACCUUGUCCCUGGAGAUAUUGUCGAGGUUGCUGUAGGAGAUCGCGUUGCUGCCGACGUUCGGCUGUUAACGCUGGAAAGCACGACGCUGCGCGUUGAUCAGUCGAUUCUGAACGGCGAGUCGGUGGAAGCCAUGAAGCAGGUGGAGUCGGUUCGCGGCAAGCCGGAGCGGUUUCCUUCGAGCAUGGUUUACCGCGGCACUGCUGUUGUGUAUGGCAAGGCUCGUGGCGUCGUCGUGCGCACUGGCACGUCCACUGAGAUGGGCUUUAUCGAACGUGACGUGCGUGAGCAGGAGGAAACAAAGACGCCGCUGCAGCUGAAGCUGGACGAGUUCGGCGUUCUCCUGUCAACGGUAAUUGGUUACAUUUGCCUUUUCGUGUUUGUUGUGAAUCUCCUUCACUGGUUCAGAACCCACACGCCGGCCACUGAGGAGUCCUGGUUUGAACGGUACAUUCAGCCCACCGUUCAUUCACUGAAGGUGGCCGUCGCUUUAGCUGUCGCUGCUAUUCCUGAGGGCCUACCAGCAGUGGUCACAACGUGUCUGGCGCUCGGUUCACGCAAGAUGGCGCGGCACAACGCUCUUGUGCGUGAUCUACAGAGCGUGGAAACGCUUGGUCGAUGCACCGUAAUCUGCUCCGACAAGACAGGAACGUUAACGACGAACAUGAUGUCCGUGUCGGAGGUGGUGACAAUGGAACCGUCUGGUAAGGCCCACAAAUACAGCAUACAUGACUCGAGGUUCAACAUCGUGGCGGCCGCCGUUUCGCACAACGGCACUCUAGCCGGUGACGUGCUCGGCAACGACGCCGCGCUGGACAUGGUGGCCACGAUUGCCACGUUGUGCAGUGAUGCAUCGCUAAUCUACGGUACGCGCUCGGUGGAAGUGGAAAAGGUAGGGGACGCCACCGAGGCGGCUCUUCUGGUGAUGAGUGAGAAGCUGUACCACAGUGCGGCGCGGAAUGGGGUGGACGGUGCGCAUUUGCCGGUUGACCGGUGCAGAUCAUUGAAAAGGCAACUUUGGCUCAAGAAGGCGACGCUGGAGUUUACGCGCUCUCGCAAAUCGAUGAGUGUGUGUUGCACGUCGACGGCGGACGUACGCGUUCACAGCCUCUUUGUGAAGGGGGCGCCAGAAGAAAUUCUCAAGCGAUGCACUCGUAUCAUGUUUAAGGAUGGUCACAUUUCACCUCUCACACCGAAAAUGGUGAAUACUGUGACGGCGAACAUCGAUCGCAUGUCCGGCACAGAGGAAGCCCUCCGCUGUAUCGCGUUUGCCUUUCGCCCCAUUCCCGACCCGAAGCAACUGAAUCUGUCUGAUCCAGCCAAGUUUGAAGCCAUCGAGAGCGACCUCACUUUUGUCGGCGUCUGCGGCAUGCUGGACCCUCCGCGGGGGGAGGUGGCAGAUGCAAUCGCCAAGUGCCGAACGGCGGGGAUUCGCGUCAUCGUCAUCACCGGCGACAAGAAGGAGACAGCAGAGGCAGUGUGCCGCCGAAUCGGGCUCAUGCCAUAUGAGCCGACAAAGGGGUUGAGCUUCACCGGCUACGAGCUGGAUCAGAUGACCCCAGCACAAAGGCGGGCGGCGGUGAGCAGUGCUGUGCUUUUCAGUCGCACCGACCCCUCCCAUAAGAUGCAGUUGGUGAAUCUUCUGCAGGAGCAGAAGCUCAUUUGCGCCAUGACGGGCGACGGCGUGAAUGACUCGCCGGCGCUGAAGAAGGCCGAUAUUGGGAUUGCCAUGGGCUCCGGGACAGAAGUGGCGAAGGCGGCGAGCAAGAUGGUGCUGGCAGAUGACAAUUUCGCCACCGUCGUGAAGGCUGUGCAUGAGGGUCGUACCAUUUUCAACAACACAAAGCAGUUUAUCCGCUAUCUCAUUAGCAGCAACAUUGGCGAGGUAGCCUGCGUUCUGGCUACGGGACUGUUUGGCCUGCCAGAAGCACUCUCGCCGAUUCAGCUCUUGUGGGUGAAUCUCGUUACGGACGGGCUGCCGGCAACAGCGCUGGGGUUCAACGCCGCCGACCCAGACAUUAUGGAACAGGCACCGCGGCGAGGAGACGAGCCCAUUGUCGACGGAUGGCUUUUCUUUCGCUACAUGGUUGUGGGCGUCUAUGUUGGUCUGGCUACGGUCGCGGGGUUUGUCUGGUGGUUUCUGACGAACGGAUUCACCUUGUCCGACCUCGCCUCAUUCACCACAUGCACGGACAUGAGCAAUUCCAGGUGUGCAGUGCUGGCGAACCCGCAGACGGCGCGCGCCAUCGCGUUGUCCAUCCUGGUUGUUGUCGAGAUGCUGAAUGCGCUGAACGCGCUUAGUGAGAACCAGUCGCUUGUCGUGAUCCGGCCUUCGACAAACAAGUGGCUCAUUGCGGCCAUUUGCUCUUCAAUCGCGCUGCACCUCACGAUCAUGUACAUUCCGUUCUUUUCGCGCCUGUUCGGUGUCACCCCACUUGGCGUGGAUGUUGAUGUCGUUGCGACCGCGAGCCCGUGGGAGGUGUUGCUGCCUACGGAUUUCACGGACUGGAAAACGGUACUUGUGCUGAGCAUCCCGGUUAUUUUCCUCGACGAACUGCUAAAGCUUUUUUCGAGGUGCAGCAAUCACCACCGUGAAAGCUAUAGCGCAGAGUCUGUUGUGGGAGGGCUGAGCGGUAUGUAGAAUUAAGUGCAGCUGUUUUUUUCCGUCUCACGUCGUACAUUCGUGCAGCCCGAUCAGUCAGCCGGUACAAGGUGCGCAUGUGUGUAUGCGCACAGAUAUAGAAGCGCCAACAGCUCUUAAUAAUGAAGAAAAGAGAAUACCACAAGGAAGAGAAACCGUGCUGCUGAUGUGCAUGCCGAUUCGCCAGUGGCGGCACGGUUUUUUUUGUGAGUUUUUUUUUACAGGCAACGAAGGAGACCCUGAUGACGAUAAGCGCCUCAUCACGGUAUGAGAUUUCGUUACCCACUCUGCGGGCAAGUCAAGCAGCCCCUCCCCCCUAACCCCUGCCAAGUGCACAACCACCUCUGGUGGUGACAGGGUCAAGUGCCUACGACGUGCGGGAGGUCACCGCGACGUACCGCUGCCGAUGUCGGUGGUCAGGUCGUGGAUGGCGCUGCGUCGGAGCGACCUGCGACAGUGCGCACGCUUGCACCAUCCAUAUGAUAGGCGAAGUGCCGACGUGACUCGAGCGUAUCCCACCCGGCCCUCGCACUGCCUAGUGGUGUGGGUGGGCGAGUAGAGUUUGACGGCAGAGGCCGUGCUCCCAUGACCGAGUCGGUGCAUUGGCGUGAUGCGUGUCUAGUGCGGCUUCGCACCACCCGAUGGGGCCUUUGGCAGUCCGGGUGGAGUUUAGCACACGUUCUAUGGCAGAGUGGACAUGUUGUGAAAAAAAAAAAGAGAAUGACAGCAGCAGAGCACGAGAAAUACAAUCUACAAAAAACACUGUGAGGUGUUUAAAAGCACCUUUCAAGUUUUUUAUUGCUCUUUAGCGCAGGUUAUCUUACGUGUCACGUAGUUGCCGGCACUGAUGCGUUGUGGAUCGGUGCUGCUGGAAUGCCGAUGAGAAAAUGGUGAAUACAAAUGCUGCCUACUCGCUCUCAUGUUUAUUAUUAUGCGCUGCUCGAUUGUGCAUCGCGUGACCACAG
rnacentral:misc_RNA from 1 species